rnacentral:rRNA from 1 species
AACGAACGCUGGCGGCAUGCCUAACACAUGCAAGUCGAACGAGACCUUCGGGUCUAGUGGCGCACGGGUGCGUAACGCGUGGGAACCUGCCCUUAGGUUCGGAAUAACUCCCCGAAAGGGGUGCUAAUACCGGAUAAUGUCUUCGGACCAAAGAUUUAUCGCCUUUGGAUGGGCCCGCGUUGGAUUAGUUAGUUGGUAGGGGAAAAGCCUACCAAGGCGACGAUCCAUAGCUGGUCUGAGAGGAUGAUCAGCCACACUGGGACUGCGACACGGCCCAGACUCCUACGGGAGGCAGCAGUGGGGAAUAUUGGACAAUGGGCGAAAGCCUGAUCAAGCAAUGCCGCGUGAGUGAUGAAGGCCUUAGGGUUGUAAAGCUCUUUUACCCGGGAUGAUAAUGACAGUACCGGGAGAAUAAGCUCCGGCUAACUCCGUG